rnacentral:miRNA from 1 species
AAGCCAUGGCUGCCAGCGAUCGUGGGCUUCUCUUACGUGGCAGGGCACAAUGGUGAGGCCCAUGGCAGCAUCUGCUAGUUUCUGCCCUCUUCUCCAGG